GAUGAACGCUAGCUACAGGCUUAACACAUGCAAGUCGAGGGGAAACGGCAUUGAGUGCUUGCACUCUCUGGACGUCGACCGGCGCACGGGUGAGUAAUGCGUAUCCAACCUUCCCAUUACUGUGGGAUAACAUGCCGAAAGGCAGACUAAUACCGCAUAUUCUUCGAUGACGGCAUCAGAAUUGAAGUAAAGAUUUAUCGGUAAUGGAGGGGGAUGCGUCUGAUUAGCUUGUUGGCGGGGUAACGGCCCACCAAGGCUACGAUCAGUAGGGGUUCUGAGAGGAAGGUCCCUCACAGUGGAACUGAGACACUGUCCAAACUCCUACGGGCGGCAGUAGUGAGGAAUAUUGGACAAUGGACGGAAGUCUGAACCAGCCAAGUAGCGUGCAGGAUGGCGGCCCUAUGGGUUGUAAACUGCUUUUGUAUGGGGAUAAAGGUAGGGACGUGUCCGUAUUUGCAGGUACCAUACGAAUAAGGACCGGCUAAUUCCGUG
rnacentral:rRNA from 1 species